ACCAUUAAUAGCGCCUAUCUCUCUCUCUCUCUCUCUUUCUCCCUCUCUCUUUAGCGUCCUUCUCCCUCUCUGUCUCCCUCUCCCUUACCGCCGCUCCUCUCCCCUCCACUUUCACCGCCAUUUUCUUUUCUUGAUCAGUGUGUUUAGAAUUGCAGAGAAGCUUCGAAUUCGAGUAAAAUGGCGAUGGCAGUGGCACAUCAGCACAGAGAGAGUAGCAGUGAUAGCAUGAACAGGCAUCUCGAUGCCGAAAAAUAUGUCCGGUACACUGGCGAGCAAGUGGAAGCCCUCGAAAGGGUUUAUGCCGAGUGUCCGAAGCCGAGCUCUUUGCGUCGACAGCAAUUGAUCCGCGACUGUCCCAUUUUGUCUAACAUCGAACCCAAGCAUAUCAAAGUCUGGUUUCAAAAUUGCAGGUGUCGAGAGAAGCAACAAAAAGAGGCUUCUCGGUUGCAGACUGUGAACAAGAAAAUGACGGUGAUGAACAAGCUGUUGAUGGAGGAGAAUGAUCGGUUGUAGAAACAGGUGUCACAGUUGGUAUGCGAGAAUGGUUUUAUGUGGCGUCGGCAACUACUGAUGCAAGCUGUGAGUCUAUGGUAACCACUACUCAGCAUUCUAUGAGAGAUGCUAAUAAUCCUGCUGGGUAAACUGAAAGAGAUGAAGGUAAAAAAUGAAUAAGUGCUGUCAAAGGAAGAGCCACAAGUAGAGAAGGCUGGUGCAGUUGAUCAAAUUAAGAAAAAAUAUGGAUUUACUAUGUCUGGUGUAAGUAUGCAUCCAAUAGAUUUAUGUCUAAUCAUCUGUUGUGCACUCCAUCACUUAACAUUUUGUUUGAGUUGGUUAAUUAGUUAUAUAUUUAAAUGGGUUUAAUACUGAUCUGAACAUUCAAAAUCUGACCAAGACAUCACCUUUUGUUUUGAACAUUUAAAAAAAAAGAAUUACGGUGAAUAAUUUUGGUCAUGACUGUGGAAAUGUGAGCCAUAUUGAUUGUCAUAAUGUUUAAGAUGGUUGUAAUGCAUUGUGCUGGAAUUUUUGUGAGCCAUGUUUAAGAUGUGAGCCAUAUGAAAGGACUGGAAUUUUUAUUGGAUAUAAGAUAAGAUCCACUACUUUUAAGCUUUAUAUUUAGGUUUAAUUUCAUAUACAAUGUUCCAGUAGGAGGCAUUAUUUCCAUCUUUGGGUGCAGGAUUCUAGUGCUGCAAAGAUGGCACAAAGCAAAUUGGGCGAAAAUGUGAAGAAGUUGCAGGUUUAGACUCUCAAUAUAUAGGAAUUGGGUUAAAAUUUUAUAUUAAACUUGUUUGGCUGUAAAAUUGAAACAACUUGAAAUCUACAAAUUUUUUUUCUUGAUGAAAUUGGUUUCUCACUUCUAGAAGAGAGAACUCUUUUCUUUUUAUUACAAAAAUCUGAGGCUGAAGCAUCAAUAGGUUCAGUACCGCUGUUGCAUUUGAGGCUGAAGAUGUCAACUAAGCAGUGUCUGUUGCUCGCAAAGCAUUCGACCAAGGACCAUGGCCAAAGAUGACUGCUUAUGUAAGAAUAUCACACAUUGAUCAUUUGCUUUGUACUUUCAGGAAAGAUCACGAAUAAUGUUGCGGUUUGCUGAUUUGCUUGAGAAGCACAAUGAUCAUAUUGCGGCUCUUGAAACUUGGGAUAAUGGGAAGCCUUAUGAACAGGCUGCAAAUGAAGAAAUACCAUUGGUGUGGUAAAUAUAAGCUAAUUUGGCAAGGUAGAAAUUAGCAUAUAUGCUAAUUUAGGUUGUGGUACAUAUGUCCUUUUUGUUAAUUAAUUUGGUUAGUCCUAUAUUAUGUAUGAAAUAAAAUUAUUGA